ACGGACAUACCACAUUGAAAACACUGGUUCUCAUCCAAUCACUGAAGUUAAGCAAUGUCGAGCCUGGUCAGUACUUGGGAGGGUGACCACCUGGGAACACCGGGUACUGUAGGCU
rnacentral:rRNA from 1 species